rnacentral:rRNA from 1 species
UAGCGUAAUCACUUGUCCUCUAAAUAGGGACUCGUAUGAACGGCCAACUGAGGGCCCACCUGUUUCCUCUGACCAAUUAAUGAACCUGAUCUCUCAGUACAAAAGCUGAGAUCUACACAUAAGACGAGAAGACCCCGUGGAGCUUAAAAUAAUCUAGCAAACCCCACACCAUACUAGAUAUUUUUAGUUGGGGCGACUACGGAACAAAAAAACUUCCAUGCCAAAGACUAGCCCUCCUACAAAGGCACACAUGCCACUGUAACUUCACCACACGACCCAGUCAAACUGAGUACCGAACCAAGUUACCCCGGGGGUAACAGCGCCAUCCUCCUCAAGAGCCCCUAUCGCCAGGAGGGUUUACGACCUCGAUGUUGGAUCAGGACCCCCAAGUGGUGCAGCCACUACUAAAGGUUCGUUUGUUCAACGAUUAA